AAUACAAAAUAGGGCUGGGAUGUGGCUCAGUGGUUGAGUCCCCCUGAGUUUAAUCCCUGGUACCAAAAAAAAAAAAAAAAUGAAAAAAGUUUGUUUUGGCUGGGGGCAAAGCUCAGUGGUGGAGUCCUUGCGUAGUGCAUAUGAAGCUCUGGGUCUAAUCCCUGGUAGGAGAGAAAAAAGAAAAGAAAAGAGUGCAUCCUUUCUCCGUACCUCGACUCCAGUACCCCCAGUCUCCUCCACUGUACCCUAAGUGUUCUUUUUUCCUUAGAGCUUUAUUACUUUCUAACAUACUACAUUAUUUCUGUAAGUGUAUCUUGUUUAUUAUCUGCUGGUCCCAGUGGAAUGUAAGCUCCAGGAAGGCAGAGAGCUUUGCUCCCUGAUUGUCCCAAGCACAGAACAGCACCUGGCACAUAGUGGACACCCAAAAAAUACUAAUCAAAGGCAUUCCCAGGAUUCAAGGCUAGUCGUGGCACAUAGUAGGCUCCCUGCUCCUGCUGUGGUACUCGGAAUUGAACUCAGGGCCUCAAUUGUGCUAGGCAAGUGUUCUACCACUGAGCUCCAUGGCAGCCCCAUGCUGCAAUUAUUUUGAGAAAGGGUCUUGGUAAGUUGCUGAGGCCGGCUUUGAACUUUCAAUCCUCCUUCCUCAGACUCCUGAGUAGCUGAGAUUACAGGUGUGUGUCACCACACCUGGCCAUUGUAGGAUCUUACUACUUGUUGAAUGUUUUUCUCUGAGGCAUGAAGAGGACUAAGUGUCAAAACAGAGAAGACAUAGGCAGCCUAGAAUGGUGAUUCAGAAGAUGGCAAGGUGCUGCCUCUGCUGGUUUGGAGUUUUGGCCCCAACCUGUCCUCCUGGUAUGAUCUGUGCGACUAACUUAACCUCUCUGAGCCUUUGUUUUCUUAUCUGCAAAUUGGAAAGCACAAGUAUCUUCCUUCUAAGGUAAUUAGGAGAAUUAAAGUGAUAACUCAGAAAGUCUGGUAAGUGCUUAAUAUAUUUGAGCAAUUAUUUUUAUGAGCUCUUAUUCUUUCAACUCUUUUUAAGGGGAAAUAAUUUCCAUAUCCUUUCUUACUCCUCAGGAUUAUUGGGAGGCAAAAAUACACAAUUCUGUAAGUGAAAAACACUUUGUAAGCCAUGCCCCACUUUACAGAGAUCAGGGAUGGUGAUUAUGAUUCUUCUGAAUCCCCCAUAAUACCUCACACUGUUCUGGGUGUGUGAGAAGUGCCCCGUGAGCCCCAUUCACCAAUGACACUGGGACAGCUUACGUCCUGGAAAAGAAAACCAUACUGGCCCCAAUCAAUAGCUAAAUUCCUUCUAAGACAUGACCCUUCCCAUGGCUGUCCAGAGGCAGAGCAGGGCCUUGGUUCUAUUUCAAAGCCCUCCUUCUUCUCUUCUUUCUUUCCUCCCAGGCUCCCAGAAACCUUGCCAGCAGUGAAAGCACAACCAUAUUGCUGGAGCUGAAAUCUGCAGCCUGUCCUUCAGAUGGUUUCUGCAGAUGGGCUGUUACUGUGCUGAAAGCAUUGAACUCUGCAAGUGGAUUGCACACCCAGCUCCUCUGAACCACUGAUAGGUGGCAGCUCAGUCUCUUCCCCCUAAUGCUCUUCUCUCUCUCUCUCUCUCUCUCUCUCUCUCUCUCUCUCUCUCUCCCUCCCUCCCUCCCUCCCUCCCUCCCUCUCUCUGACUUUUUGUUUGUUGACAGCAGCUGGGAACAUACCUAGCUGGGCACAAUUCUCUUCUAGGGAGAAGCAGCCCUCACUUACACGCAGGGGGGAGAUGAGAUUGCUGUUCAAAAGUACCAGCCUUUCUCUGAAGUGGUGUCACAUCCAGACAGAAAAAUAAAUGUGCUCUGCCCUCAUGGAUGAUGAGACGUCAUCUUUCAGACAGACUUUUGACACAGGGGGAUCAAGAUGAAGGAACUGAAGCUUAGAGAGGUCAAGUAACUUCUCUGAAGCCCCACAAUUGGUGCACGGUAGACAGGAGAUCUGGACCCAGUGCCUGACUCAGGGCCUGCGCUCUUGACCUUCAGGCUCUGCUACCUUCCACUCUUGCUCAUCAAACAGAAUACGGAACACUACAUGGAGUGUGAGAAUCCCUCCGUGCACCUUCCUGAUUUCUCUGAUGAUUUGAAUUCUGCAGUCAUCAGGGUCUACGGGACAUAAGGUAUCACUGCCAUGAGAAAAAGAAUAACUUGCACUUUGUGGCCCCACUCUGCCAGACAGAGGGUAGUGACUCAGUUCACCCCUGCAACAAUAGUGGAGACCAUGCCAGAAAUGGAAAUACUAGUUGCCAUCAAGGUGCAACUCAGAGUGUCUGUGGUCUCAGGCAGUGUUGGUCAGCAUCGGACUCAGGCUUCUGGGUAAUUGUAAGCCACGAUCAUGGUAACCUUCCCUACAUUGCCCAAGAAGCUAUUGCAAGUUUGACGAGAAUCAAGUUGGCUAGUGAUAGGAUGGCUGAGGACAUUUCAGUGGCAUAAACUGCCCCUUGUUUCCCAAUGCCAGUUCUCCCUUCUCCCUUCCACAGGGAGAGAACCCCCUAAUGGUUAGACGGGAACAAGGCACCCCAGCGUAAAAUCUACAUUUACCAGACUCUUGACAAAGUUCCACCAAUGGGACAUAAGUGGAGGUGUGUAACCUAUAGAGAUGGGUGUGCCUUUCUUAACUUUUUUUUUUUUUUUGUACUGGGAAUUGAACCCAGGAGUACAUAACCACUGAGCAACAUCCCCAGCCCCUUUUUGUAUUUU